rnacentral:misc_RNA from 1 species
UCCGGUUUGUCACCGGCAGUCUCCUAUGAGUCCCCAACUGAAUGCUGGCAACAUAGGGCAGGGGUUGCGCUCGUUGCGGGACUUAACCCGACAUCUCACGACACGAGCUGACGACAGCCAUGCAGCACCUGUACUAGUUCCACCCCGAAGGGCGUACCCUGCUUUCACAGGGAUAAUCCUAGCGAGUCAAGCCCAAGUAAGGUUCUGCGCGUUGCUUCGAAUUGAACCACAUGCUCCACCGCUUGUGUGAGCCCCCGUCAAUUCCUUUGAGUUUUAGCCUUGCGACCGUACUUCCCAGGCGGUCGACUUAGCACUUUUGCUUCGACCAUGACAGCGUCAGAGCUGCCACGAUCUAGUCGACAUCGUUUACGGCCAGGACUA